rnacentral:lncRNA from 7 species
AGUUCCUUCAUCUGGUAAAAGAUAACUUUGAUCUCACUCUCACUGCUUUCAACUUGUUAUUGAAACUGUAUCCAUUUCCUUCCAGAACGUUAAGAAGCCCAUGCGUGCCACACCUGGCCCAGACAGAGCGGGGAGUGGUGCCUUUGUUGCCAUGUGCAAGCACUGACCACCUUUUGCAGUGGUCAGCUUCUUCAAGCUGCGCCCCUGAAAAAGUCUGCUUGUCCUGCUUCUUCUUAUCUUUACAAUCAUAAGCACAUGGAUAUGAGGAACAGAAAUAAUUGCAGUUCUGAUCUUGAAUAGAACCAAAAAUCAUUGUGCAAAUGUUCAUGAAGUUCCCACAUUCAGCCUCACCAGCUUCUGAAGACUGGGGAAGAUUGUAGGCUUUCUUUAUUGGAUGGAACUUCCUCAUCACAUAUUCAGAAGUUUGUCUGUGUUAAUAUGCAUGGUAUUUUUUUUAACUUCCAACAGCCCAAAUCUCUUUUGUUGACAACCUAUUUAGUGCUUUUUUUUUUUUUUUUUAACUUGCAUUUGUUCAAGUGCUUUGGAUAGGAUUAUUGAAUAAGCCUUAGAAUAAGUCAUAAUGUGUUUAGUGAUGGAAAACCAGGUACAGUGUCAUUUCCUUUGUUCAUAAUGAUGCCUGCAUUUUCAUUACAGAAAUACUCAUUGUCUUUAUCUCUUUCAGCUGUGUUAACUAUUAAAACAGUUUCUUUGAUCUACAUUAUUUUGUCUCUUGUACAUUUAUAGAUCCUUUGCCAUGACAAACAAUUUCUUGACAGUGACAAGGAACUUUGCUUAUGUCUAAUAGGAUGUUCUAUACACAGGCUAGAUGGUAUGCCUCAUACGUUGUGUAUUGACUUGUUUUAAAAACAAGUAAAUGAGAUUUGACAAAGAAUGUGAGAAAAUGUACUUUGGAAGAAUGAAAGAAAUGAAGUUAGCAUCGUGUCUUCAUAAAUCUUAGACUCUCUGUAUUCAAAUGCAAUCACUUGCCCCAGUAAAGGAAAUGUAUUAUUCAUGGCCUCAUACAUCUUGUAAAAUGAUGUGAUUGGUUUUUUCUACAUUCUCUGACAAGAUCUUAUGCAGAAGUACGAAUAAAUAAAAUAAUGGUG